GACGUAGGGGGCAAGCGUUGUCCGGAUUUACUGGGCGUAAAGAGCGUGUAGGCGGUUGGGCAAGUCUGCUGUGAAAUCUCCAGGCUCAACUUGGAGGGGUCAGUGGAAACUGCCAAACUUGAGGACGGUAGAGGGGGGUGGAAUUCCCGGUGUAGUGGUGAAAUGCGUAGAGAUCGGGAGGAACACCAGCGGCGAAGGCGGCCCCCUGGGCCGCUACUGACGCUGAGACGCGAAGGCCAGGGUAGCGAACGGG
rnacentral:rRNA from 1 species